rnacentral:rRNA from 1 species
GACGAACGCUGGCGGCGUGCCUAAUACAUGCAAGUAGAACGCUGAAGGAGGAGCUUGCUCUUCUGGAUGAGUUGCGAACGGGUGAGUAACGCCUAGGUAACCUGCCUGGUAGCGGGGGAUAACUAUUGGAAACGAUAGCUAAUACCGCAUAACAGUAGAUGUUGCAUGACAUUUGCUUAAAAGGUGCAAUUGCAUCACUACCAGAUGGACCUGCGUUGUAUUAGCUAGUUGGUGGGGUAACGGCUCACUAAGGCGACGAUACAUAGCCGACCUGAGAGGGUGAUCGGCCACACUGGGACUGAGACACGGCCCAGACUCCUACGGGAGGCAGCAGUAGGGAAUCUUCGGCAAUGGACGGAAGUCUGACCGAGCAACGCCGCGUGAGUGAAGAAGGUGUUCGGAUCGUAAAGCUCUGUUGUAAGAGAAGAACGAGUGUGAGAGUGGAAAGUUCACACUGUGACGGUAUCUUACCAGAAAGGGACGGCUAACUACGUG